GACAGAGGUGCCGAGCGUUAGGCGGAAUUACUGGGCUUAAAGCGUGUGUAGGCGGAUCUGUAAGUACCUUGUGAAAUCCCACGGCUCAACCGUGGAACUGCUUGGUAUACUGCGGGUCUUGAGCCACCUAGGGGCAAGUGGAACAAACGGUGGAGCGGUGAAAUGCGUAGAUAUCGUUUGGAACGCCAAUGGUGAAAACAACUUGCUGGGGGUGUGCUGACGCUGAGACACGAAAGCCAGGGGAGCAAACGGG
rnacentral:rRNA from 1 species